CUGUUUAUCAAAAACAUUUCUUUAAGAAUUUAUUUAAAGUAAAACCUGCUCAAUGUAAUAAUAAAUAGCCGCAGUUUACUGUGCUAAGGUAGCAUAAUCAUUAGCUUUUUAAUUAAAAGAUAGAAUGAAAGGUUAAAUGAAUAUAAAUUGUUUCUAAAAUAUAAAACUAAUUUAAAAUAAAAGUUAAAAUUCUUUUAUAUCUUAAGAAAGACGAUAAGACCCUAAUAAACUUUUACAUUUAGCUGGGGCGGCAAAUUAAAUAAACCUUAAUAAUAUAUACACACAAAUCUAAUAAAAUUAAAUCAAUAAA
rnacentral:rRNA from 1 species